UCACCCGCGCGUAAUGGCGGCCGCGGUGGUAGUAGCGUCGGUCCUUUUUCCUCCUCCUCGUCACCCCGGGACCGGACCGGAGGCCUCUCCGAUGGCCCUCGAGCCUCCCUGCGUGAGGUCGUCGUGCCCGAUAACCGCUUCUCCGGUCCCAUCCGAAGCGUCCGUCGACCGGAUAGACCCGUCGGCGAUAAUGCGUUCGAGGUAUCCUCCGAGGCCGCCGCCUCCGCCAGAUGACAUGCAGACCUGGUUUAAUGGAUUCAUUAUGCACCUGAGAGUCAACCACAAGAUUAACUGAAGAUCCAGAGAUUUUCACGGGGACACCGGUGGACCGAGUCAGCGUUCAGGGGAACGUCCCGAAGAAGAUCGACAGCUAAAAGGAGUCAUCGCUG